UACGUAGGGGGCAAGCGUUGUCCGGAAUCAUUGGGCGUAAAGCGCGCGUAGGCGGCCCGAUAAGUCCGCUGUAAAAGUCAACGGCUCAACUGUUGAACGCCGGUGGAUACUGUCGGGCUAGAGUCCGGAAGAGGCAAGUGGAAUUCCUGGUGUAGCGGUGGAAUGCGUAGAGAUCGGGAAGAACAUCGGUGGCGAAAGCGCUCUACUGGACCGCAACUGACACUCAGGGACGAAAGCUAGGGGAGCGAAUGGG
rnacentral:rRNA from 1 species